GUGUGUAUGUAUGUAUGUACAGAGCUCCCUAACUUACAUAGGCCUCUGUUAAGGGGGUGAUGGCUAGUCAUGGUGUCUGGAUGCUG
ensembl:snoRNA LOC120102739 small nucleolar RNA SNORD86